rnacentral:rRNA from 1 species
CCUACGGGAGGCAGCAGUGGGGGAUAUCGCACAAUGGGGGGAACCCUGAUGCAGCGACGCCGCGUGGGUGAAGAAGCGCCUCGGCGCGUAAAGCCCUGUCAGCAGGGAAGAAAAUGACGGUACCUGAAGAAGAAGCCCCGGCUAACUACGUGCCAGUAGCCGCGGUAAUACGUAGGGGGCAAGCGUUAUCCGGAUUUACUGGGUGGAAAGGGGGCGCAGACGGCGAUGCAAGCCAGGAGUGAAAGCCCGGGGCCCAACCCCGGGACUGCUCUUGGAACUGCGUGGCUGGAGUGCAGGAGGGGCAGGCGGAAUUCCUGGUGUAGCGGUGAAAUGCGUAGAUAUCAGGAGGAACACCGGUGGCGAAGGCGGCCUGCUGGACUGCAACUGACGUUGAGGCCCGAAAGCGUGGGGAGCAAACAGGAUUAGAUACCCCAGUAGUC